GAUGAACGCUGGCGGCGUGCUUAACACAUGCAAGUCGAACGAGAGAAGAUCGGUGCUUGCACUGAUCCGAUCGAGUGGCGGACGGGUGAGUAACGCGUGGGUAACCUGCCUCAUACAGGGGAAUAACAGUCGGAAACGGCUGCUAAAACCGCAUAAGCGCACAGUAUCGCAUGAUACAGUGUGAAAAACUCCGGUGGUAUGAGAUGGACCCGCGUCUGAUUAGCUAGUUGGUGAGGUAACGGCCCACCAAGGCAACGAUCAGUAGCCGGCCUGAGAGGGUGAACGGCCACAUUGGGACUGAGACACGGCCCAAACUCCUACGGGAGGCAGCAGUGGGGAAUAUUGCACAAUGGGGGAAACCCUGUUGCAGCGACGCCGCGUGAGUGAUGAAGUAUUUCGGUAUGUAAAGCUCUAUCAGCAGGGAAGAUAAUGACGGUACCUGACUAAGAAGCACCGGCUAAACACGUGCCAGCAGCCGCAGUAA
rnacentral:rRNA from 1 species